AUAAAUGAAAAAGGAUUCAUUUUAAAACAAGUUAUGAUUCUGGUUAUAUUCAAUGCGAAUUCUGAGUCAACAGAAUUUUCAUCUGUUCUUGUUUAAAUUUUACAGAUAAAGGUUUGGGAUGCACAGGAAAAGAAAUGUACUGGAAUGUUGAUGGGGCACACAGGAAGUGUGAAAUCUCUGUGCCCUCAUCCAAGUAAUCCUGAUCUUGUUGUCUCUGGUUCAAGAGAUGGGUCCUUUGCUAUUUGGGACCUGAGAGGCGGUUCCAGAACUAGACGUGGGGAUAUCUGGAUACCAAUUUAAUGCAUAUUCACUGCAACAUCAAAAGAUACAUUUUACAACUGAGGCAAGAAAUCGGAGAAUUUGGCAUUGUUCCAUGAGAUGCAGCUAGGAUAAAUAAAGCUUGAUGAGACAAUUCUGGU